rnacentral:rRNA from 2 species
AUCAAUAAGCGGAGGAAAAGAAACCAACUGGGAUUCCCUUAGUAGCGGCGAGCGAAACGGGAUAAGUCCAGCACCGAAUCCCGAGCCUUGGCUCGGGAAAUGUGGUGUUUAGGAGUGCGCGUCUUGUGGUUGAUUCGGCAGCAAGUCCCCCUGAUCGGGGCUCCUCGCCCAGAGUGGGUGCAAGGCCCAUAGUUGCUGAGUCUCCAUGGGAUGUGCGCUCCUUGGAGUCGGGUUGCUUGAGAGUGCAACCCUAAUCGGGUGGUAAACUCCACCUAAGACUAAAUACGACCGUGAGACCGAUAGCAAACAA